CGAGAAGGUGGAACCGGAGAUGGUCGAGUCUUGGAUUGACUCGAUGGAAAACCUCUUCGAUGACUUGUGUACCUUGGAGAGGGACAAUGUCACGCCCCCGCCCCGAGCCCGCUACCAAUUUGGUCCGGUUCGGGCGCGGCGAACGGACGCCGAACGGACAGCACCUCCCCUGUCCGCCCAAGGCUAAACAACGAGAUCAUGUACAACAAGUCCCCAGGAAAUCAACUUGAAUACAUACAUAAUCAUGCAACAACAGC
rnacentral:lncRNA from 1 species